rnacentral:rRNA from 1 species
GACGAACGCUGGCGGCGUGCUUAACACAUGCAAGUCGAACGGAAAGGCCCUGCUUUUGUGGGGUGCUCGAGUGGCGAACGGGUGAGUAACACGUGAGUAACCUGCCCUUGACUUUGGGAUAACUUCAGGAAACUGGGGCUAAUACCGGAUAGGAGCUCCUGCUGCAUGGUGGGGGUUGGAAAGUUUCGGCGGUUGGGGAUGGACUCGCGGCUUAUCAGCUUGUUGGUGGGGUAGUGGCUUACCAAGGCUUUGACGGGUAGCCGGCCUGAGAGGGUGACCGGCCACAUUGGGACUGAGAUACGGCCCAGACUCCUACGGGAGGCAGCAGUGGGGAAUAUUGCACAAUGGGCGGAAGCCUGAUGCAGCAACGCCGCGUGCGGGAUGACGGCCUUCGGGUUGUAAACCGCUUUCGCCUGUGACGAAGCGUGAGUGACGGUAAUGGGUAAAGAAGCACCGGCUAACUACGUGCCAGCAGCCGCGGUGAUACGUAGGGUGCGAGCGUUGUCCGGAUUUAUUGGGCGUAAAGGGCUCGUAGGUGGUUGAUCGCGUCGGAAGUGUAAUCUUGGGGCUUAACCCUGAGCGUGCUUUCGAUACGGGUUGACUUGAGGAAGGUAGGGGAGAAUGGAAUUCCUGGUGGAGCGGUGGAAUGCGCAGAUAUCAGGAGGAACACCAGUGGCGAAGGCGGUUCUCUGGGCCUUUCCUGACGCUGAGGAGCGAAAGCGUGGGGAGCGAACAGGCUUAGAUACCCUGGUAGUCCACGCUGUAAACGGUGGGUACUAGGUGUGGGGUCCAUUCCACGGGUUCCGUGCCGUAGCUAACGCUUUAAGUACCCCGCCUGGGGAGUACGGCCGCAAGGCUAAAACUCAAAGGAAUUGACGGGGCCCCGCACAAGCGGCGGAGCAUGCGGAUUAAUUCGAUGCAACGCGUAGAACCUUACCUGGGUUUGACAUGGAUCGGGAGUGCUCAGAGAUGGGUGUGCCUCUUUUGGGGUCGGUUCACAGGUGGUGCAUGCCUGUCGUCAGCUCGUGUCGUGAGAUGUUGGGUUAAGUCCCGCAACGAGCGCAACCCUUGUUCACUGUUGCCAGCACGUUAUGGUGGGGACUCAGUGGAGACCGCCGGGGUCAACUCGGAGGAAGGUGGGGAUGACGUCAAGUCCUCAUGCCCCUUAUGUCCAGGGCUUCACGCAUGCUACAAUGGCUGGUACAGAGAGUGGCGAGCCUGUGAGGGUGAGCGAAUCUCGGAAAGCCGGUCUCAGUUCGGAUUGGGGUCUGCAACUCGACCUCAUGAAGUCGGAGUCGCUAGUAAUCGCAGAUCAGCAACGCUGCGGUGAAUACGUUCCCGGGGCUUGUACACACCGCCCGUCAAGUCAUGAAAGUUGGUAACACCCGAAGCCGGAGGCCUAACCGUUGUGGGGGAGCCGUCGAAGGU